UGGGGAAUUUUGGACAAUGGGCGAAAGCCUGAUCCAGCAAUGCCGCGUGUGUGAAGAAGGCCUUCGGGUUGUAAAGCACUUUUGUCCGGAAAGAAAUCCUUGGCUCUAAUACAGUCGGGGGAUGACGGUACCGGAAGAAUAAGCACCGGCUAACUACGUGCCAGCAGCCGCGGUAAUACGUAGGGUGCAAGCGUUAAUCGGAAUUACUGGGCGUAAAGCGUGCGCAGGCGGUUUGCUAAGACCGAUGUGAAAUCCCCGGGCUCAACCUGGGAACUGCAUUGGUGACUGGCAGGCUAGAGUAUGGCAGAGGGGGGUAGAAUUCCACGUGUAGCAGUGAAAUGCGUAGAGAUGUGGAGGAAUACCGAUGGCGAAGGCAGCCCCCUGGGCCAAUACUGACGCUCAUGCACGAAAGCGUGGGGAGCAAACAGGAUUAGAUACCCUGGUAGUCCACGCCCUAAACGAUGUUAACUAGUUGUUGGGGAUUCAUUUUCCUUAGUAACGUAGCUAACGCGUGAAGUUGACCGCCUGGGGAGUACGGUCGCAAGAUUAAAACUCAAAGGAAUUGACGGGGUCAUAGCUGUUUCCU
rnacentral:rRNA from 1 species